rnacentral:lncRNA from 10 species
GUAUUUAUCUUCCCCCUCCCCAUUGAGUAGAACUAGAACAAGGAUUUGAUUUUGCCUUAAAUCAAAAAGCCUCUCUUUUGGUUUUGCCUCUUAGCUGAAUGCAAGGGGGAAAAGCGGGAGAGAUUCCUGCCAAGAUUAUCGCAUUUGUGAAUCGAGGUUACUUCCCCCUCAUCUUUGCACAUGGGCCACAUGAGCAGCCCAUGUGAGUCUUAAGUAGCUGCCAUGUGACCCACUCAUUCUCGUGUCUGCGGUGUUACAGGGCAAUUAGAACGAUCGCAUCAAGGUCACUUUGUGUGUAUGUGUGCGUGUGCGUGCGCGCAUGUGUGUGUAUGUGUGUUUGGGCCCUCGGAGAGGACAAUCAGGUGUGUGAAUGAAUGUCACUGGAAUAUGUCUUGGAGUCCAGUGGUCCAUUUCCGUGGCAACGCAAAACGAAAGCCUGGGAAUCAGGGAAAUGCUGCCAGUUGCUAUGGUCAAGGCCUGGCUCACUAUAGGGGAGGAAGGAAAAUCCCAGCUCAAGUGGGGAGGUUUGCGGAGAGGUUUGUUCUCUGCUUGUAAAGAACAUGCUGUUCUUUCUGCUGCGUGUGACCGGCAAAUCCAGUGUCUGGGGGACCAGCAUUUGCACUUCUACUGACCUUUUCUCAGAGGAUCCAGGACCCCACCCCGGUACCCUGGACAAACCCAGCCCUGUUAGUAAAGGUGCUAGCUGAAGGGUCUAGUUGCUGGGCAGGCUCUUCAGGAGAUCGCUAAAGAAAUGGGGAAAAGAUCUACUUCUGCAGUUUGGGCCAAUGCCAUGCAAUUACCCAGUAAAUCCACCCAGCACAGUUGAUUGUGAGGCAAUUGCAACAGCAAUGCCCUUUCCUCUAGGAAAGAUGCAACACGGAGAGUCUCGGCCAUUCAUUGACUCUUACAGCUGGAAAACUCACGCAGGUCACAGCCUCUUUGCAGACGUGCACACUGAUUCACUGGAUACAUAUUUACUGAAGAUCUACCAUGUGCUUGGCACUGGGCUCUUGAGAAACAUCAGUGCAAGAGUCAGGCAAGGUCCCUGACCCCAUAGAGCUGACAUUUUAGGGAGUCAAUAGACAAUGUAAAAGAACAGUCAGUGAGACGUAUAGUGUAUCAGAUGGUGAUAGACAAGUAUAGCAAGGUAAAGGGUAGAAAAGGAGGUAGAUCAGUGGAGGGAUAUGACUCCUCAUAGAGGGGGCACAAAGAUCUCUCCAAUAAUACGGUCUGUGAGUAGAGAUCUGCACAAAUGGAGGAAGCAUACCAUGGUUAUAUCAGCAGGAAGAGGGGCCCUGGAGAGGGAGUGCAAAGGCCCUGGGGCAAGAGCCUGCAAGCAUAUGCAAACAACUGCAGGAAGGCGGAGAAGCUGGAGCAGGGUGAGCCAAUGGGACCAUGGUAGCAGUUAAAGUCUCAGAUAUGACAGUGCCAGAGUAUGUGGACUUACAGGCACUGCAAGGACUUUGCUUUCACCCUGAGUGAAAAAUGAGGCCAUAGGAUGUUUUGAUGGGAGAAAGGAUAUGAUCUUCAGUUUUUAAAGGAUCACUCCGUUUGCUGUGUCAGGAAUACAUUGUUGAGAAGGGGGUUCAAGAUAAAUGCAAGGAGAUCACUGACAAGUCAAUAACAGUAAUCCAGGCAAAGGGUUUUGGGCUUGGAAUGAGAUGAUAGCAGUGGAAUGAAGUGGGUAGAUUCUGAAGGCUGAACAGAUGGGAUUUACCGAUAGCUCAAAUGGGGGACAUGAGAGAAAGAGAGAAGGUAAGGAUGAUUCCCAGAUUUUUGGUCUAAACAAUUGGAAGUGGAGUUGUCGUUUACUGAGAUAGGAUUCUUUUUAGAUGUACUAAAUUGGAUGUCUUCUAUUUGUUUAUUAAAAUGUUGAGUUAGACAUUCAAGUGGAAGCAUCAAGGAGAGAGUGGAUAUAUAAUGGUCUGGAUUUCAGGGGAGAGGUGCAAGGUGGAGAGCUGUAUUAUGUAUGUAUCUAUGGUAUUAAUGUAUGCAUUAAUGGGAUGUGGAGCCAUGAGUCUGGCUGAGGCCUCCUACGGAGUACGUACAGAUAGAAAAGGGAAGAGAAGGAAUCACUGGGUCCCAAGCACAUUAGCAUUGACGGGUCAGGAAGCUGAGGAGGACCAGCAAAGGAGAUUGAGACGUUGAGGGUGGGGAGGUACAAGGAGAACCAAGAGAGAGUCCUGUCCCUGAAGCCAGGUGAAGAAAAGGUUUCAGGAAGAAAAGAAGGAACAACUGCAACAAAGGCCACCGACAGUCAAGAUGGGACUCCUGGAUUCAGCACUGGAGAGGCCCAACAAUAGCUCCCAACACAAAGCCUCCUUUGAAGAGUACUGCCAACAAGAAGGCCCAAUCAAGAUCCUCCCACAACAAGAGCAGAUUGUGAGCGUGGCAAGCUCUAUGCUGAGCACUGGAAGGACAAAGAGAGAUUGGGCACAGACUUCUCACUGAUCCAGGUGAUGAAGAGCUCACAUCUGAGAGGAUGUGACCAUGGAUGACCCACCAGAAUGUCAUGGGAUCCAGCUACAGCCAAGGAAGCACAGAGCACCGUGGGAGCGAUUUAUUGUGCUUGGGGAUGGGGAAGGGGACAUGGGAGGAGCCAUAUUGAGAAAGUAGCAUGGGUACUUGGCUUCACAGAGUGUGGCAGCUUUCAUCAGGAAGUGAUGGUGGGGGAACAGCGUCUCUGGCGGAGGGAAGCAGCAGGUGCAGAGGUGCAGAGGUGUGAGGAGUCUGUCACAUUCUGGGAAGGGAGUAUGGUUGGGUGACAAUGCAAGACAGAGAAAGCAAGGAGGGAAGGAGGGGCCUAGCCUGAGGAAUAAAGAAUAAUAAAAGCAGGAAAACAAU